CAGAGGUCCCAAGCGUUGUUCGGAUUCACUGGGCGUAAAGGGUGCGUAGGUGGCUUGGUAAGUUUGAUGUGAAAUCUCCGGGCUUAACCCGGAAAUGGCAUUGAAUACUAUUGAGCUGGAGGUUUGGAGGGGGGACUGGAAUUCUCGGUGUAGCAGUGAAAUGCGUAGAUAUCGAGAGGAACACCAGUGGCGAAGGCGAGUCCCUGGACAACACCUGACACUGAGGCACGAAAGCUAGGGGAGCAAACAGGAUUAGAUACCCUGGUAGUCCUAGCUGUAAACGGUGCAUAUUUGCUGUAAAAGGAAUCGACCCCUUUUGUGGCGAAGCUAACGCGAUAAAUAUGCCGCCUGGGAAGUACGGUCGCAAGAUUA
rnacentral:rRNA from 1 species